AUUGAACGCUGGCGGCAUGCCUUACACAUGCAAGUCGAACGGUAACAGGUCUUCGGAUGCUGACGAGUGGCGAACGGGUGAGUAAUACAUCGGAACGUGCCCGAUCGUGGGGGAUAACGCAGCGAAAGCUGUGCUAAUACCGCAUACGAUCUACGGAUGAAAGCGGGGGAUCGCAAGACCUCGCGCGGACGGAGCGGCCGAUGGCAGAUUAGGUAGUUGGUGGGAUAAAGCUUACCAAGCCGACGAUCUGUAGCUGGUCUGAGAGGACGACCAGCCACACUGGGACUGAGACACGGCCCAGACUCCUACGGGAGGCAGCAGUGGGGAAUUUUGGACAAUGGGCGCAAGCCUGAUCCAGCCAUGCCGCGUGCAGGAUGAAGGCCUUCGGUUGUAAACUGCUUUGUACGGACGAAAAGACUCUCUCUAAUACAGGGGUGAAGUGACGGUACCGUAAGAAUAAGCACCGGCUAACUACGUGCCAGCACG
rnacentral:rRNA from 1 species